AAAUAAUCCAUAGAUGAGACGGGAAAUGAAAUGAAGAUUCAAGAGUGUUAAAGUUCAAUCGGAUGAGGAAAGGAGUCAAGAGGUGAAAUAUGGUCGAAGUAUUAUCAAGUAUCAAAUUUCAAGCGAAAAAGUUAUGCUCGUGAUUUUGAGUCUCUACUUGAGAUCCAUUUUUGGCAUAGUAAAUAUCAGAAUUUGAGGAAGCCUAUUUCUAUCAAAAGUGUACAUAUUUGAGUUUUCUUCCCAAUGCACUUUGAAUCACUUCAAUCGGAGAUUGGGAGAGAAAGUUAUGACCAAA
rnacentral:lncRNA from 1 species